rnacentral:lncRNA from 1 species
AAAAAACAAGAUUUUAUGCAUCGAGGAAAGAUUAAUGUAACACGAUUUUGUAGAAAAAUAUAAAAAUAAAUUAAGGCUUAUGGCAUGAUAAUAAAAUGAUGACACGUGUGAAUGAAACAAUAAUAUAACGAAAAUAAUGAAUAAACAGUGGCAUUAAUUAAUUAAAUGAAAUAAUAAUAAUACUGAUAAAAAAAACAAAAAUAACAACAACAACAAC